rnacentral:rRNA from 1 species
GACGAACGCUGGCGGCGUGCUUAACACAUGCAAGUCGAGCGGUAAGGCCCUUUCGGGGGUACACGAGCGGCGAACGGGUGAGUAACACGUGGGUGACCUGCCCUUAGCUCUGGGAUAAGCCUGGGAAACUGGGUCUAAUACCGGAUAUGACUCCAUGACGCAUGUUGUGGGGUGGAAAGCCUUGUGCGGCUAGGGAUGGGCCCGCGGCCUAUCAGCUUGUUGGUGGGGUGAUGGCCUACCAAGGCGACGACGGGUAGCCGGCCUGAGAGGGCGACCGGCCACACUGGGACUGAGACACGGCCCAGACUCCUACGGGAGGCAGCAGUGGGGAAUAUUGCGCAAUGGGCGAAAGCCUGACGCAGCGACGCCGCGUGUGGGAUGAAGGUCUUCGGAUUGUAAACCACUGUCGGGAGGGACGAAUGCGCCGCAAGGCGAGUGACGGUACCUCCAAAGGAAGCACCGGCUAACUCUGUGCCAGCAGCCGCCGUAAU